rnacentral:rRNA from 1 species
GUCCAGACUCCUACGGGAGGCAGCAGUGAGGAAUAUUGGUCAAUGGGCUUACGCCUGAACCAGCCAAGUCGCGUGAGGGAAGACUGCCCUAUGGGUUGUAAACCUCUUUUGUCAGGGAGCAAAGGGCGCCACGUGUGGCGUUUUGCGAGUACCUGAAGAAAAAGCAUCGGCUAACUCCGUGCCAGCAGCCGCGGUAAUACGGAGGAUGCGAGCGUUAUCCGGAUUUAUUGGGUUUAAAGGGUGCGCAGGCGGAAUGUCAAGUCAGCGGUAAAAUUUCGGGGCUCAACCCCGUCGUGCCGUUGAAACUGGCGUUCUUGAGUGAGCGAGAAGUAUGCGGAAUGCGUGGUGUAGCGGUGAAAUGCAUAGAUAUCACGCAGAACUCCGAUUGCGAAGGCAGCGUACCGGCGCUCAACUGACGCUCAUGCACGAAAGCGUGGGUAUCGAACAGGAUUAGAUACCCUGGUA